rnacentral:rRNA from 1 species
GUGAACGGCCAUACCACGUUGAAAACACCGGUUCUCGUCUGAUCACCGAAGUUAAGCAACGUCGGGCCCGGUUAGUACUUGGAUGGGUGACCGCCUGGGAAUACCGGGUGCUGUAGACU